UUGGAGGGCAAGUCUGGUGCCAGCAGCCGCGGUAAUUCCAGCUCCAAUAGCGUAUAUUAAAGUUGUUGCAGUUAAAAAGCUCGUAGUUGAAUUUCGGGAUUAGUACGUCGGUCGUGCCUUAGGUACGUACUGGUGUUACUGGUUCCUACCUUCUGACGAACCAUCAUGUCAUUAAUUUGGUGUGGUGGGGAAUCAGGACUGUUACUUUGAAAAAAUUAGAGUGUUUAAAGCAGGCUCGCGCUUGAAUACAUUAGCAUGGAAUAAUGAAAUAGGACGUUGAUCCUAUUUUGUUGGUUUCUAGGAUUGACGUAAUGAUUAAUAGGGAUAGUUGGGGGCAUUAGUAUUCAAUUGUCAGAGGUGAAAUUCUUGGAUUUAUUGAAGACUAACUACUGCGAAAGCAUUUGCCAAGGAUGUUUUCAUUAAUCAAGAACGAAAGUUAGGGGAUCGAAGACGGUCAGAUACCGUCGUAGUCUUAACCAUAAACUAUGCCGACUAGGGAUCGGAUGAUGUUAUUUUUAAUGACUCAUUCGGCACCUUACGGGAAAC
rnacentral:rRNA from 1 species